CUCCUCUCACAAAAAUCGAACAAAGGAAAGAAGGAAGAAAACCCUCGUAUCUUGGCCAUACUUUGGCUGGCAACCCCUCGCGUUUCAACGCAUCGAGCGCACGCAGAAGAAAUCGUCCCUUCCUCUUCCGUCCCGCUUCGCCGUCGGUUGGCAAUCGCUCAUUCGGGAUCACGAUCAAACUAAAUCGAUCCUGAACGUAGCACAAAAACUUUUUUCCCCCCAACCAAUUCGGACGUUUCCUCCGCUCGGGGUCUCUUAAUCCUAACAAAUCGAAUUCAACCGUCUCGACGGCACGAGCAUCGUGGAAAAAGAAGCGGGAAACACGAUGAUAGCGGCGAAACGAUGCUGGAGGGAGGAGGAGAAGGAAAAACGGCAGACAGAGAUGCGAAAUAGGAGUUGAGCGCGGAAAAAAAGGAAAUAAUAAAGCCUCGAGUCGAUGCCAGGUGCAUGGACGGCUGGCGUAAGAACGCGUCCAAAAGCAGUGCGUGUCAUUAGAGAGCGUGAAAGACGUGACAAAUGACAGUCUGUCUCGUCUUGAAUGCGCAUUGGCGCCCCCUAUCGUUGCCACUCGUUUGUUUGCGGUCACACAUUGUCGUGUGACGGAGAAAAGAAAGAAAGAUCGGG